CGGGAAUCUGAAUCCUUACUGCAGAGCGCUAACCCUGGAAGAUGAACCCUUUAACUAAGGUGAAGCUGAUCAACGAGCUGAAUGAGCGAGAGGUCCAGCUUGGGGUGGCGGAUAAGGUGUCCUGGCACUCUCAGUACAAGGACAGCGCCUGGAUCUUCUUGGGAGGGCUUCCUUAUGAACUAACCGAAGGGGACAUCAUCUGUGUGUUCUCACAGUA